rnacentral:tRNA from 1 species
AUGAAUGUCGCUUAAUAGGUAAAGUUCAACUUUGCCAAAGUUGAGAUUGCGAGUUCAAGUCUCGCCAUUCAUA